GACGAACGCUGGCGGCGUGCUUAACACAUGCAAGUCGAACGAAGAGCGAUGGAAGCUUGCUUCUAUCAAUCUUAGUGGCGAACGGGUGAGUAACGCGUAAUCAACCUGCCCUUCAGAGGGGGACAACAGUUGGAAACGACUGCUAAUACCGCAUACGAUCUAACCUUGGCAUCGAGGAUGGAUGAAAGGUGGCCUCUAUUUAUAAGCUAUCACUGAAGGAGGGGAUUGCGUCUGAUUAGCUAGUUGGAGGGGUAACGGCCCACCAAGGCGAUGAUCAGUAGCCGGUCUGAGAGGAUGAACGGCCACAUUGGGACUGAGACACGGCCCAGACUCCUACGGGAGGCAGCAGUGGGGAAUCUUCCGCAAUGGACGAAAGUCUGACGGAGCAACGCCGCGUGAGUGAUGACGGCCUUCGGGUUGUAAAGCUCUGUUAAUCGGGACGAAAGGCCUUCUUGCGAAUAGUUAGAAGGAUGACGGUACCG
rnacentral:rRNA from 1 species